rnacentral:rRNA from 1 species
AGCAGCCGCGGUAAUUCCAGCUCCAAUAGCGUAUAUUAAAGUUGUUGCAGUUAAAAAGCUCGUAGUUGAAUUUCGGGAUCAAUACGUCGGUCGUGCUUCGGUACGUACUGGCGUCAUUGAUUUCUCCCUUCUGACGAACCAUGAUGUCAUUAACUUGGUGUCAUGGGAAAUCAGGACUGUUACUUUGAAAAAAUUAGAGUGUUUAAAGCAGGCUCACGCUUGAAUACAUUAGCAUGGAAUAAUGAAAUAGGACGUUCGAUCCUAUUUUGUUGGUUUUUAGGAUCAACGUAAUGAUUAAUAGGGAUAGUUGGGGGCAUUAGUAUUCAAUUGUCAGAGGUGAAAUUCUUGGAUUUAUUGAAGACUAACUACUGCGAAAGCAUUUGCCAAGGAUGUUUUCAUUAAUCAAGAACGAAAGUUAGGGGAUCGAAGACGAUCAGAUACCGUCGUAGUCUUAACCAUAAACUAUGCCGACUAGGGAUCGGAUGAUGUUAAUUUUUAAUGACUCAUUCGGCGCCUUAAC